rnacentral:rRNA from 1 species
AACGUAGGAGGCGAGCGUUAUCCGGAUUUACUGGGUGUAAAGCGCAUGCAGGCGGCUCGGUAAGUGAGGUGUGAAAGCUCCUGGCUCAACUGGGAGAGGUCGCUUCAGACUGUCGGGCUCGAGCGUGGGAGGGGAAGGCGGAAUUCCGGGUGUAGUGGUGAAAUGCGUAGAUAUCCGGAGGAACACCAGUGGCGAAGGCGGCCUUCUGGACCACGACUGACGCUCAGAUGCGAAAGCUAGGGGAG